ACAGCGAUUACAUCGGAUCUAUAGGUUGCCGGUUCAAAUCCGGCCGGGGUUACCCCGUAGCUCAAUUGGAUAGAGCAGUAGGCUAUCGCUGUCGAUUUUUCCCUGCGGC
rnacentral:Y_RNA from 1 species